UCAAGCAUCCCAAUUCGUCAUAAAAGCAAGGGGAAAACGAUGAAAAGGGGAUACACGUAAGGCAAGGUGAGUGUGAAAACCAACUGGUAUAAAUCUGCAAAGUCCACGUUUUCCGCCACAUUUCGUGACUAGAACCGAAACCUUCAGCUGAAAUUUCAGUUUACCUCACUGUGCAAUCAUGAACUACCAAAUUCCUUUAGUGUUCGCGAUCAUUUGUGUCCAGGGACUGUUAGCAGCCCCUACCUCAAAUGCUCUGCCAGAGAAGGAAAAGGAAUGGCUUGCCACCGAGCUCAAGAACCUGAAAGAAAAGGGAGAAAUGUUCAAAAUGGCAAUGAAUAACUACAUUACUGCCAAACCAGAGCUGGGUGAUAUGAUCGACGAUCUCCUCGCGAAAGGUCAAAAAUCGCAGCUGACUUCGAAGAGUUCCACGGGAAAGUCGCCAACGAGGGACUCGAAGGUGAGGAAGUGGAAGCCAAAUACCGCGAAUUCUACGACUCACUGAAACAACUCGAGAGCACCUUCCUCACCGAUUUCAAGGCUAAGGUAGCCACCAUCCCCAAUGCCACCGCCCUCAACGCCGCAGUCCAGAAGGCAUCAGAAGAAGUCAAAACCCAGGCCUAAUUUCAAGCUUCAAAAAUCCACCUCUAAAAUGUCCCAACUUUUCAGAUGAGAAAAAUUCAGACCGAUAAAUCAAUUUAAACGAAUCCACAAACUGAAAAGAAUUUUAACGCAGAACCUGCUUAUUUUGUCCUGAUUUUAUUUAACUUUUGGAUGAAUAAAGCACCCACAGCAUCACACAUUUUUUAUUGUAAUAAUUUUCUGUCCUUUCAUCUCUCUAAUUUUCGGGCUGGUUAUAUUUCUUAUACAAUGUGCCGAUCAAUCGCAUGACCAAGCCCAGGAAUGAAAAUUAAGGGAGCUCAGACCAAUAAGUACAAUUUGCACUUAAGAUUGUAACUGCUUUUUCGCUCCUUAUAAAAUGCAUUCGAUCAAAUUUCAACAUCUUUUUAAAAUACGACGAGAUAAUGCAUGGAGCAAAUGUACGCAAAAUUAUGCUCAUCAGUAUAAAUCAAUACAAAAUUAGUAUUUUAAAUGUUUUUCGUGCCCCAAAAGUAAUGCAGCA
rnacentral:lncRNA from 1 species